rnacentral:misc_RNA from 1 species
UACGGAGGGUGCAAGCGUUAAUCGGAAUUACUGGGCGUAAAGCGCGCGUAGGCGGUUUGUUAAGUCGGAUGUGAAAGCCCUGGGCUCAACCUGGGAACUGCAUUCGAUACUGAUCGACUAGAGUACGAGAGAGGGAGGUAGAAUUCCACGUGUAGCGGUGAAGUGCGUAGAUAUGUGGAGGAAUACCGGUGGCGAAGGCGGCCUCCUGGCUCGAUACUGACGCUGAGGUGCGAAAGCGUGGGUAGCAAACAGG